rnacentral:rRNA from 1 species
ACAGAGGUCCCAAGCGUUGUUCGGAUUCACUGGGCGUAAAGGGUGCGUAGGCGGCUGAGCAAGUCUAAUGUGAAAUCUCCGGGCCUAACCCGGAAACUGCAUCGGAUACUACUCAGCUAGAGGAUUGGAAGGGAGACUGGAAUUCUCGGUGUAGCAGUGGAAUGCGUAGAUAUCGAGAGGAACACCAGUGGCGAAGGCGAGUCUCUGGACAAUUCCUGACGCUGAGGCACGAAAGCCAGGGGAGCAAACGGGAUUAGAUACCCCGGUAGUCCUGGCUGUAAACGGUGCACGUUUGCUGUAAGAGGAAUCGACCCCUUUUGUGGCGAAGCUAACGCGAUAAACGUGCCGCCUGGGAAGUACGGCCGCAAGGUUAAAACUCAAAGAAAUUGACGGGGGCCUGCACAAGCGGUGGAGUAUGUGGCUCAAUUCGAUGCAACGCGAAGAACCUUACCUGGCCUUGACAUGCAUGUAGUAGAACCCUGAAAGGGGGACGAGGUAGCAAUACCAGCUUGCACAGGUGCUGCAUGGCUGUCGUCAGCUCGUGCCGUGAGAUGUUGGGUUAAGUCCCGCAACGAGCGCAACCCCUGUGUCCUGUUGCCACUCGGCCGAGAGGCUGGAGCACUCUGGACAGACUGCCUCGCUUCAACGAGGAGGAAGGUGGGGAUGACGUCAAGUCAGGAUGGCCCUUACGGCCAGGGCUGCACACGUACUACAAUGCCCGGCACAACGGGGCGCAAUACCGCAAGGUAAAGCCGAUCCCUAAAAACCGGGCCCAGUUCAGAUUGUCGUCUGCAACUCGACGACAUGAAGCUGGAAUCGCUAGUAGUGGCGCAUCAGCUACGGCGCCGUGAAUACGUUCCCAGGCCUUGCA